rnacentral:rRNA from 1 species
AGCAGUCGCCGCGGUAAUACGAAGGGUGCAAGCGUUACUCGGAAUUACUGGGCGUAAAGCGUGCGUAGGUGGUGGUUUAAGUCCGUUGUGAAAGCCCUGGGCUCAACCUGGGAAUUGCAGUGGAUACUGGGUCACUAGAGUGAGGUAGAGGAUAGUGGAAUUUCCGGUGUAGCAGUGAAGUGCGUAGAGAUCGGAAGGAACAUCUGUGGCGAAGGCGACUAUCUGGGCCAACACUGACACUGAGGCACGAAAGCGUGGGGAGCAAACAGGAUUAGAUACCCGCGUAGUCCCUGUCUCUUAUAC